rnacentral:ncRNA from 1 species
GGGAGCCCGGUGCGGGAAAUCCGCACGCCGGGUUCUGAGGGGGAGGACGGGCCCAAGUCGCCAUGCCGGUUCACCAAGGGCACCGCGCCGAAAGGCGCGGUAACGGAGAAUGGUGCUAUGGCUAAAGCGGCGAGGCCCGCCUCUACCCACCCACCCUCU